ensembl:lncRNA
UCAGGCACAUGAGAAUUGAUAAGAAGCGCAGUGAGAUUCCGUGCUAUUGGGAGGAUCAACCAGGAGGCUGUCAGAAAGCCCACUGCGCCUUUCUCCACUUGAAGGAACGCGGUGGGAACGGACUGGCCGUACCACCAAGCCAAAAAGCUGACGCCAGUGGCCUUCCUCCGAAGAGCGGCCUUGCAGGAAGUCUGGGCAAGAAGCCUGGGAAGGCACCAAAGAGAGGUACAGAUACUCAACAGGCAUCUGGGCUUGAUGCACUGUCUUUCUGCUUAGCUGUUCUGAUUGUUCUUUCCUGGGACUGUUCCCUGCAGUUGACAUCCCAACUUCCUCCCAUGGCCCGGCUGGAAAAAAAACGCAAGCGAUCUGAGGAGGAGGAGGGAAAAGUAAAAGAAUUGCCCUGCAAGAAACGAGUCAAGGGUGGACGCAAGGAGGCCGUGAAGCCUAUUGAUUGGAAAACCACCUUCCCCCCCAAGCAGAAACGGAAACGAAAAGCAGCAGAGAUGCAUCCAUCUGCUGCUGAGGACACAGAUGAGCCCCCAGCUAAAAAACUAC